rnacentral:rRNA from 1 species
UACGUAGGUGGCGAGCGUUGUCCGGAUUUACUGGGCGUAAAGGGCGUGCAGGCGGUUUGUUAAGUGCAGGGUGAAAGCUCCCGGCUCAACUGGGAGAGGUCCUUGCAUACUGGCGAACUCGAGGGAGGCAGAGGAAAGUGGAAUUCCCGGUGUAGUGGUGAUAUGCGUAGAGAUCGGGAAGAACAUCAGUGGCGAAGGCGGCCUGCUGGGCUGUUGCUGACGCUGAGGCGCGACAGCGUGGGGAGCAAACAGG